GAAUGUAUUGCAGUCAAAUUUAUAUGCGUCAGUAUGUCUGAGAUCAUCUGUGUCCUUCUUUUACAGUUGCUAUGUAAGCAGACUUCUAUCUACAUUUGCUCACCACUACCAAAAGACAUUAACCAAGAGAAGUGUCAUCGCAGAAGAAAUGGCAGACGUUCCUCAGACACCUGAGCAGUGCUUGGAGUCAGACAGUGGACUUCAUCUUCAUUACACUUCUCUGACUUGACUACCAAGGAGCAGUUAGAGUCGAUGAGAAAAACUCAAACUAAGAUACUUUGAAGAAUGCUGGCAAUCAAAACCAACAGGUGCAGAAAUGAAAGCUCCCAAGCAAAGAACUGACUGGACUAAGAUGUGGAAAGACAUGCUGCACAAUGACCAACACAAUGAGCAACAACCAAGAACAAUAUUCACUGAUUACCAUUAAAAAUGAUUCAUAGUAACAGUUGGAUAAUAAUUAUUUCAGUUAUUUUGCCAAGUACAAAAUGUUUAAUUCCAAAACUUUGCCAUUUACCAAUGUAUUUUUCAAAACGCCUUUUAAAUUUUUAAAUGUUUUAACCUUUGUUUAUUAAAUGUUACAAUCCAAGUGUACAUAAAUGCAUCAAGUAAAUGCAUGGGUAAUUUUGCAAAAUGUGUUACUUUUUUUA